GGUUAUGGGUUUAGGUGUAGGGUUUAGGGUUAUGGGUUUAGGUGUAGGGUUUAGGGUUAUGGUUUAGGUGUAGGGUUUAGGGUUAUGGGUUUAGGUGUAGGGUUUAGGGUUAUGGGUUUAGGUGUAGGGUUUAGGGUUAUGGUUUAGGUGUAGGGUUUAGGGUUAUGGUUAAGGUGUAAGGUUUAGGGUUAUGGUUAAGGUUAGGGUUUAGGGUUGUGGGUUUAGGUGUAGGGUUUAGGGUUGUGGGUUUAGGUGUAGGGUUUAGGGUUAUGGUUUAGGUGUAGG
ensembl:lncRNA